UUUGUGCUAAAAUGGGAGGUGGCCACCACCGCCAUUUUGACCGUGUCACAGGUUCCGUCCAGCCCAGACAAUUCCAAAAAAGGGAAGAGAGGUGGAGCUGAGGGUGGGGCUGUAAGGCUGGGAUCAACUGACGACAACCGGUCAAACUAGCUACAAGCUAACCUGAAGCUAACCCAAAGCUAACGCGGAGGUGGGAGCCGAGCUAACGGAUGUUGCCACCUAGCUACAACCGGAGCUAACUCUGUGGAACACCCAUCGACCGCAUGGAGUUCAGGUGGAGGUUUGCGGCGCUUUUUCAUGAGAAGUACCUUUCUGUGAAUAAAAAAUAUUAAAUCGGUAAGUUUAUAAGUUAUUUCCGUAAUGAAAAUAUAUUUUGCUUUGAGCAAGUUUUCACUAUUUUUCACGUACCGUAUUUUCAGGACUAUUAAGUCGCUCCUGAGUCGCACCAGCCAUUAAAUGUAUAAUGAAGAAGAAAAAAACAUAUAUAAGUCGUAUUUUGGGGGGAAUUUUUAUUUUUCUUACAAAAUCUGAGACAAAGCGUUUCACAUUGCAAGACAAGUACCGGUAACAAUACCCGAAUAAUGCGCCGCAGCAGCGCCACGGUCUCCAGCAGAGGAAGGUGGUGUUUGAAACCCUCCCAGCGGGACAGGGGAACUCAUUCUUGGGUCGGAGUCGGCCCGCAGCAGCACGGUGUAGCCUACAAAUUUUGUUAUAUAAGUCGCUCUGGAGUAGCAGGACCUGCCAGACUAUGAAAAAAAGUGUGAUUUAUAGUCCGGAAAAUACGGUAGUUAUUAGUAUUUGAGAUAAAUUAGCAGGCUAAAUAAAUUUUAUAUAUUUCCAAAAUGUAAUACUUGUUUGUAUCUUGUACAGCCAACUAGCCUUUAUUCUGGACUCAGUACAAUUCACCAAAAGUAAAGAGACAUUAUACAGAUGAAGUAAGCACAAGAUAACUUACUGGAAGACACGGAAUUAUUAUCAUGAGAACCAGAACAAGACAGCCUGAUAACAGUCAUGUGAAAAUAACAGUUAAAAAGUAUGUAUGUGUAAUAGAAAUAAAAAUAUAUUAGCAAUCAUGAAAUGAGGUCUGGGAGUUUUUAAGUUUCAUUCUUUUAUUACAUUUUUUUCUUAGAUCUGUUAAAAGGUCACCAUGGCAGCCUGUGUCUCCAACAUCAGCUACACAACGCAGCAAGUCCAUUUGGAUCAUCGGUGACAGCUGAGUGAGGCGUGGUGCCCAGAGAGCUGCAGAGACCCUGACGUCCGUGUCUCCUGGUUCGGUUGGGGCGGACUGAGGUGGAAAGACCUUCUCCCCUUCUUUUUCAACUCCAUGCAUGGAAGAGCAGCUCCUGAUGUCCUUCUCAUCCACUGUGGCGGCAAUGACAUGGGGGUGGUCAGCAGUGUGAAUCUGGUGAACAUGAAGAAGGACCUGCACCGGCUUCACCUUCUACACCCUCAUAUCACACUGUUGAGAACUGUUCUUCCUUCACAACCCAAUGUUCCACUCACUCUGCAGCUCUCUGGGCCCCUUUUAUUAUUUUAAGUAUUUUUUAAAUGUCCCGACACUUUGUGUCCUGUUAUUUUAUAAAAUGUGAUGUAAAAAAAUAAAUGUUUUUGCUCAA